rnacentral:rRNA from 1 species
CCCUUAGAGUUUGAUCCUGGCUCAGAACGAACGUUGGCGGCGUGGAUUAGGCAUGCAAGUCGAACGAAUCCCGGGGGCAACUCCGGGGGAAGUGGCGAAAGGGGCAGUAAGGCAUGGGUAACUUGCCUCGGGGACUGGGAUAGCCACCCCAACGGGUGGGUAAUACCGGGCGUCGUGUGUGGAGGGCAUCCCCUGGACACGAAAGAGAAUCGCCCUGAGAGAGGCUCAUGUGGUAUUAGCUUGUUGGUGGGGUAACGGCUCACCAAGGCCAAGAUGCCUAGCGGGUGUGAGAGCACGACCCGCGUCACUGGCACUGAGACACUGGCCAGACUCCUACGGGAGGCUGCAGUCGAGGAUCUUCGGCAAUGGGCGCAAGCCUGACCGAGCGACGCCGCGUGUGCGAUGAAGGCCUUCGGGUUGUAAAGCACUGUCGGGGAGGAGAAAAGCCCGCAAGGGUCUGAUCGACUCCCGGAGGAAGCACGGGCUAAGUUCGUGCCAGCAGCCGCGGUAAGACGAACCGUGCGAACGUUGUUCGGAAUCACUGGGCUUAAAGGGCGCGUAGGCGGACUGCCAAGUCAGAGGUGAAAUCCUGCGGCUCAACCGUAGAAGUGCCCCUGAUACUGGUGGUCUCGAGGAAGGUAGGGGCGUGCGGAACUUCCGGUGGAGCGGUGAAAUGCGUAGAUAUCG